GGAAUGGAAGGACACAGAUCGGUGGGAUAGGCUCCUCUGGGUUCCACAAGAGGUCCAGCAUGCUGGAUGCACCGCCGGAGCCCUCUUCAGGAACCAGGCAGCUCCUCCAGGCUGCCGGCAGGACUUCGGGAGAAGGGCCUGGGCCUCCGCUCCAGGUGCACCAGCUAGGCUGAAGGAAGCAGCUCCCCCAAGGCCAGAGCAGCCCUCCGUGGAUGGGUGACUGCCCAACCUGGCACCCCUGCAGUACUGGCUGCACCCUUCACGGGUGCUCACACACCCCAGCUCCCCCUGCCUAGUCCUGCUUCCUCCCAGCCCGCAGAGUGACCCCAAAGCUCCCGAGAGCUAAUGCUCAUCUCCGUCUCUGAGAGCCCACUGGGACCAAAGCUACACGCACAGAAUCAUUGGCUAAAAACAAUUUUUAGGAAAUUCUAUGCCUGCAUCCAACCCUCUGCAACUUUGCUUUGAGCCUUUCCUGAACACUGAUGUCACCCCAUCUAGAGAAGAAGGGCGAUGGGUGGCAAGUGGACAGAUGGUACCUGCGUGGAGCCUUGGUCUGCUCUGAAAGGACUCCGUCCCUGCUCACUGCCGCACACAGCUCAUGACUUUUGCCCACUGGAAACCAGAACUGCUCUGAAAUCAUUUUCUGAUCUAACCCAAAGCACAGUCUCUGUGGCAGAGAGCCACGGGGGGCAGCAGUCGGGACUGCAGCUGCUCAGAAGCCCCCGCUCUCUUGCAGCAACGGAUACCUCCUGCCAGAGUCUCCUUCUUGCCAACAUUUCUGGGGGAGGAAAUGCAAGUUUUCCCCCCUGCUUUGCCACUGGCCGGUCAGGUGACCUGUGGCAAGCCUCCUCAUGCUGGGGUGGCCCACGGCAAGGCCCCACCUCUCUGGCCCCCAGGGGCCACUUCCACACCUGGUGGACAAGUCAGCUGGCUGAGCUCCUCCCAGUUUGGCACCACUGCCCAGUACCUUCCUCUGUCUUUGAGCUGAAACCUGUGCCUCAAGUUCAUUUCAGAAAUCUCAAAACACAGUUAACAAGCAAAGAGUGAGGCAAGGAGAGGAGUCACCUCCCUGCACUCCUGGCACUGACCCCAACUCGCACGCAUCAUUGGUGAUGGAACGGGAGCUGGGGUGGCACUGCCAGUGCCCAGUUUUGGGAGGACCUGACUCCAGCACUCCUUGGCAUGCUUCUGCCCCCUGCCUCACUCACAAGCCCCUCAAAGCCCACCUGUUCCUGGGAAAGCCCUGCGUCCACGGUCACGGUGCUUGAGCCACAUGGAGACCUCAGACUGCGAUCCUCUUACAUGUAGAAUAUAUGUUAAGGGUGAUAAAAAUAAUUUUU